rnacentral:rRNA from 1 species
GAUGAACGCUGGCGGCGUGCCUAAUACAUGCAAGUCGAGCGAACGGACGAGAAGCUUGCUUCUCUGAUGUUAGCGGCGGACGGGUGAGUAACACGUGGAUAACCUACCUAUAAGACUGGGAUAACUUCGGGAAACCGGAGCUAAUACCGGAUAAUAUUUUGAACCGCAUGGUUCAAAAGUAAAAGACGGUCUUGCUGUCACUUAUAGAUGGAUCCGCGCUGCAUUAGCUAGUUGGUAAGGUAACGGCUUACCAAGGCAACGAUGCAUAGCCGACCUGAGAGGGUGAUCGGCCACACUGGAACUGAGACACGGUCCAGACUCCUACGGGAGGCAGCAGUAGGGAAUCUUCCGCAAUGGGCGAAAGCCUGACGGAGCAACGCCGCGUGAGUGAUGAAGGUCUUCGGAUCGUAAAACUCUGUUAUUAGGGAAGAACAUAUGUGUAAGUAACUGUGCACAUCUUGACGGUACCUAAUCAGAAAGCCACGGCUAACUACGUGCCAGCAGCCGCGGUAAUACGUAGGUGGCAAGCGUUAUCCGGAAUUAUUGGGCGUAAAGCGCGCGUAGGCGGUUUUUUAAGUCUGAUGUGAAAGCCCACGGCUCAACCGUGGAGGGUCAUUGGAAACUGGAAAACUUGAGUGCAGAAGAGGAAAGUGGAAUUCCAUGUGUAGCGGUGAAAUGCGCAGAGAUAUGGAGGAACACCAGUGGCGAAGGCGACUUUCUGGUCUGUAACUGACGCUGAUGUGCGAAAGCGUGGGGAUCAAACAGGAUUAGAUACCCUGGUAGUCCACGCCGUAAACGAUGAGUGCUAAGUGUUAGGGGGUUUCCGCCCCUUAGUGCUGCAGCUAACGCAUUAAGCACUCCGCCUGGGGAGUACGACCGCAAGGUUGAAACUCAAAGGAAUUGACGGGGACCCGCACAAGCGGUGGAGCAUGUGGUUUAAUUCGAAGCAACGCGAAGAACCUUACCAAAUCUUGGCAUCCUUUGACAACUCUAGAGAUAGAGCCUUCCCCUUCGGGGGACAAAGUGACAGGUGGUGCAUGGUUGUCGUCAGCUCGUGUCGUGAGAUGUUGGGUUAAGUCCCGCAACGAGCGCAACCCUUAAGCUUAGUUGCCAUCAUUAAGUUGGGCACUCUAAGUUGACUGCCGGUGACAAACCGGAGGAAGGUGGGGAUGACGUCAAAUCAUCAUGCCCCUUAUGAUUUGGGCUACACACGUGCUACAAUGGACAAUACAAAGGGCAGCGAAACCGCGAGGUCAAGCAAAUCCCAUAAAGUUGUUCUCAGUUCGGAUUGUAGUCUGCAACUCGACUACAUGAAGCUGGAAUCGCUAGUAAUCGUAGAUCAGCAUGCUACGGUGAAUACGUUCCCGGGUCU